rnacentral:rRNA from 1 species
GAUGAACGCUGGCGGCGUGCCUAAUACAUGCAAGUCGAGCGAACGGACGAGAAGCUUGCUUCUCUGAUGUUAGCGGCGGACGGGUGAGUAACACGUGGAUCACCUACCUAUAAGACUGGGAUAACUUCGGGAAACCGGAGCUAAUACCGGAUAAUAUUUUGAACCGCAUGGUUCAAAAGUGAAAGACGGCCUUGCUGUCACUUAUAGAUGGAUCUGCGCUGCAUUAGCUAGUUGGUAAGGUAACGGCUUACCAAGGCAACGAUGCAUAGCCGACCUGAGAGGGUGAUAGGCCACACUGGAACUGAGACACGGUCCAGACUACUACGGGAGGCAGCAGUAGGGAAUCGUCCGCAAUGGGCGAAAGCCUGACGGAGCAACGCCGCGUGAGUGAUGAAGGUCUUCGGAUCGUAAAACUCUGUUAUUAGGGAAGAACAUAUGUGUAAGUAACUGUGCACAUCUUGACGGUACCUAAUCAGAAAGCCACGGCUAACUACGUG